UUGUUUGAACCGCAUGGUUCAAACAUAAAAGGUGGCUUCGGCUACCACUUACAGAUGGACCCGCGGCGCAUUAGCUAGUUGGUGAGGUAACGGCUCACCAAGGCAACGAUGCGUAGCCGACCUGAGAGGGUGAUCGGCCACACUGGGACUGAGACACGGCCCAGACUCCUACGGGAGGCAGCAGUAGGGAAUCUUCCGCAAUGGACGAAAGUCUGACGGAGCAACGCCGCGUGAGUGAUGAAGGUUUUCGGAUCGUAAAGCUCUGUUGUUAGGGAAGAACAAGUACCGUUCAAAUAGGGCGGUACCUUGACGGUACCUAACCAGAAAGCCACGGCUAACUACGUGCCAGCAGCCGCGGUAAUACGUAGGUGGCAAGCGUUGUCCGGAAUUAUUGGGCGUAAAGGGCUCGCAGGCGGUUCCUUAAGUCUGAUGUGAAAGCCCCCGGCUCAACCGGGGAGGGUCAUUGGAAACUGGGGAACUUGAGUGCAGAAGAGGAGAGUGGAAUUCCACGUGUAGCGGUGAAAUGCGUAGAGAUGUGGAGGAACACCAGUGGCGAAGGCGACUCUCUGGUCUGUAACUGACGCUGAGGAGCGAAAGCGUGGGGAGCGAACAGGAUUAGAUACCCUGGUAGUCCACGCCGUAAACGAUGAGUGCUAAGUGUUAGGGGGUUUCCGCCCCUUAGUGCUGCAGCUAACGCAUUAAGCACUCCGCCUGGGGAGUACGGUCGCAAGACUGAAACUCAAAGGAAUUGACGGGGGCCCGCACAAGCGGUGGAGCAUGUGGUUUAAUUCGAAGCAACGCGAAGAACCUUACCAGGUCUUGACAUCCUCUGACAAUCCUAGAGAUAGGACGUCCCCUUCGGGGGCAGAGUGACAGGUGGUGCAUGGUUGUCGUCAGCUCGUGUCGUGAGAUGUUGGGUUAAGUCCCGCAACGAGCGCAACCCUUGAUCUUAGUUGCCAGCAUUCAGUUGGGCACUCUAAGGUGACUGCCGGUGACAAACCGGAGGAAGGUGGGGAUGACGUCAAAUCAUCAUGCCCCUUAUGACCUGGGCUACACACGUGCUACAAUGGACAGAACAAAGGGCAGCGAAACCGCGAGGUUAAGCCAAUCCCACAAAUCUGUUCUCAGUUCGGAUCGCAGUCUGCAAC
rnacentral:rRNA from 1 species